CUGAUGUCUUACCCGUACGUC
rnacentral:siRNA from 1 species